AUAAGUAUACAGCUAUAACUCAAAUACUAAAAAUAGAUAAAACUGUUAUAGGUAGUCUUUAUCCUUAAUACUAACUAAAUACAAGAUAAGUAUACAGCUAUAACUCAACUAUUAAAAAUAGAUAAAACUGUUAUAGAUAGUCUUUAUCCUUAAUACGCCCCCGCAAGAUUGAGGCGCCAUCGGAGACUCCAAUCUUGGUUCUAAAGUAACAAAAUUGAGUUCUUCCCAAAGCCUUUGUAAGCACAUCAGCAACUUGAUCUUUUGAACUUAUGUGAAGAACCCUUAACUGUCCAGCAUUAAUUUUCUCGCGAACAAAAUGGUAAUCCAGUGCAAGAUGUUUCAUCCUAGUAUGAUAGAUUGGAUUGGCGCAGAAGUAAGUCGCACCAAGAUUAUCACAAUGAAGGACUGGUGGUUGUGAUAUUGGUGCUCCCAAAUCUUGUAAUAAACUUUGAACCCAAAAUACCUCUGCUGCAGCAUUGGCUAAGGCUUUAUACUCAGCCUCUGUAAAAGAUCGUGAGACAGUCUUUUGCCGACUAGAUUUCCAGGAGAUAAU
rnacentral:lncRNA from 1 species